GUGAACGCUGGCGGUGCGCCUAACACAUGCAAGUCGCGCGGGGAGCAAUCCCAGCGGCGAACGGCUGCGUAACACGUUGGUACAUGCCUCGAACUCAGGGAUAACCCUCCGAAAGGAGGGCUAAUACCGGAUGGUCCCGUGAGGGUAAAGCUUCGGCGGUUCGAGAGUGGCCUGCGGCCUAUCAGGUAGUUGGUAAGGUAACGGCUUACCAAGCCUAUGACGGGUAGCUGAUCUGAGAGGAUGAUCAGCCAGAAUGGAACUGAGACACGGUCCAUACUCCUACGGGAGGCAGCAGUGAGGAAUCUUCCGCAAUGGGCGAAAGCCUGACGGAGCGACACCGCGUGGAGGAUGAAGCCCUUUCCGGGCGUAAACUCCUGUUCUGAGGGACGAAAUUUUUGACGGUACCUCAGGAGAAAGCAUCGGCUAACCCUGU
rnacentral:rRNA from 1 species